ACAAGACAUUUAAUUUGGGAUUUUCUUAUCAGUAGCAAAUCCAAAAAUUGUAUACACAAUUUAGAAUAUUUAAUAAAAAUAUUGAAAUAAAUAUGAAACUUUGCUGAAAAACAAAUCCGUAAAAAGUAUUCUUUUUGUUUUCAUACAAAAAUCGUCGAUAUUAGUCGUUUCGAAAUGCGUUUCUUGCAAGUUGUAUUUGUCCUGUUUGUGGCCGUAUUUGCUACGGCAUACGCUAGUGUUUGUGUUCCCGACUGUCCAGUGGAGUAUAAACAAGUUUGUGGCCAACAUGUUGAUGGCAGUAGGAAAACCUAUGUCAAUUCAUGUCGUAUGACCUUUGAGGCGUGUAGAACAGGCAAACCCAUAACCCAGGUCAAUAGAGGUCCAUGUAAAAAAUAAAUGCUAUAUAAACAUUCUAUAAUAUUUUAUUUAAUUAAAAACAUUUUUACAUUUUCUGCUAAAAAGUGUAAUGUCUUCUGCCAAAAUAAAAAAAAAUAAUAAUGAAAAUAUUGGUAAA